AUUAUAAUCAACAUCAGAGACAACAAGUUCUCUCAGAGUUCUUUGGUCAGCCAUGUUAAACUUAAUAGAAAAGAAAAAAAAAUCAACAAAAUAAUGAGAAAACACAACUAACUCAGCAAUGCAGCAACAAAUAGGAAAAUACCGACAAUGUCCCUAUUAAGUAAAAACAAUUGAAAUACGAAAAAAAUGAUUAAAAAUAAAUAAAAAAAAUACAAAAACACAAAAAUUAAUCUAAUAACGUCAAUUAAGAAUUUUGAGAA
rnacentral:lncRNA from 1 species